rnacentral:rRNA from 1 species
GAUCAUGGCUCAGGGUAAACGCUGGCGGCGCACAUAAGACAUGCAAGUCGAACGAACUUAACCAUUAGUUUACUAUUGGAGCGGUUAGUGGCGGACUGGUGAGUAACACGUAAGCAACCUGCCUAUCGGAGGGGAACAACAGUUAGAAAUGACUGCUAAUACCGCAUAUGCCUUAGAAUCACAUGGUUCAAAAGGGAAAGGAGCAAUCCGCUGAUAGAUGGGCUUGCGUCUGAUUAG